rnacentral:rRNA from 1 species
ACCUGACUGCUAUCGGAUUGAUACUAAGCCAUGCGAGUCAUUGUAGCAAUCCAAGGCAUACGGCUCAGUAACGCGUAGUCAACCUAACCUAUGGACGGGAAUAACCUCGGGAAACUGAGAAUAAUGCCCGAUAGAACACUAUACCUGGAAUGGUUUGUGUUCCAAAUGAUUUAUCGCCAUAGGAUGGGACUGCGGCCUAUCAGUUUGUUGGUGAGGUAAUGGCCCACCAAGACUAUUACAGGUACGGGCUCUGAGAGGAGUAGCCCGGAGAUGGGUACUGAGACACGGACCCAGGCCCUAUGGGGCGCAGCAGGCGAGAAAACUUUGCAAUGUGCGAAAGCACGACAAGGUUAAUCCGAGUGAUUUGUGCUAAACGAAUCUUUUGUUAGUCCUAGAAACACUAACGAAUAAGGGGUGGGCAAGUUCUGGUGUCAGCCGCCGCGGUAAAACCAGCACCUCAAGUGGUCAGGAUGAUUAUUGGGCCUAAAGCAUCCGUAGCCGGCCCUGUAAGUUUUCGGUUAAAUCUGUACGCUUAACGUACAGGCUGCCGGGAAUACUGCAGAGCUAGGGAGUGGGAGAGGUAGACGGUACUCGGUAGGAAGUGGUAAAAUGCUUUGAUCUAUCGAUGACCACCUGUGGCGAAGGCGGUCUACCAGAACACGUCCGACGGUGAGGGAUGAAAGCUGGGGGAGCAAACCGGAUUAGAUACCCGGGUAGUCCCAGCUGUAAACUAUGCAAACUCAGUGAUGCAUUGGCUUGUGGCCAAUGCAGUGCUGCAGGGAAGCCGUUAAGUUUGCCGCCUGGGAAGUACGUACGCAAGUAUGAAACUUAAAGGAAUUGGCGGGGGAGCACCACAAGGGGUGAAGCCUGCGGUUC